rnacentral:rRNA from 1 species
UACGAAGGGGGGCUAGCGUUGCUCGGAAUCACUGGGCGUAAAGGGUGCGUAGGCGGCGCGGUAAGUCGGGUGUGAAAUCUCGGAGCUUAACUCCGAAACUGCAUUCGAUACUGCCGUGCUUGAGGACUGGAGAGGAGACUGGAAUUUACGGUGUAGCGGUGAAAUGCGUAGAUAUCGUAAGGAAGACCAGUGGCGAAGGCGGGGUCUCUGGACAGUUCCUGACGCUGAGGCACGAAGGCCAGGGGAGCAAACGGG